AACUUUUCUUCUAUAUGUUGUAUUAAAAUAUAUAAUAUACAACUAAGGACCCAUAUUUCAAAUCCAUGAGAGGCGAAGGUAUUUGGUCAUUUAUCUGAGGAGGGAAUUGCUAAGGGGAUAGAGUUACUACUGUAACAACACAAUAUGCUUUUGAAGCUAUUAUGAAGGCGUCUCAGCUUUAGAUGGAAGUUGAUCAGGCAUCCACAAGCUGGAAGGAAGCUUCUUGAAUAGGUUAAAGGGACUAAUCUGGUCAAGCGGCCUCAAUGUCAUAUGAAGUGAUUUCUAAUGCAUAAAAUCUCAUAAAUCACUUCGAUGAAAGAAAUUUUAAUGAUUCAUAUUACUUAUAUGUAAAAUUCUAAUUUACUAGUAUCAUGGAGUCGGCCCGACCGUGUCUACACUAGUUUCACAUGUUUUAAAUCGAGCCCUAUUUCGCCCUUUACCCAACCCACUAUUUAUGCUCACAAUCCAAAUUGUAGAUUUGUUUCUAUUUUGCUUAUGGUUCUUGAAAUUCUGUAAUCUUUCGGUUUCUAGAAAGUGACAGCUUUAAUGGUCAAGUAGAAUUUGCCUCUAUUCCAACGACAAAGAAGCCCGAUCUCAAGGCAAAAUUCUCCGCCCUUCAGCUGUAUGGAGACUGGUUGUGGACUAUGGUGUUUGGAGGAUGACGAGUCAAGAAGCCGAGUCAACUCAGUCAACUAAGCCGACUUAGUCAACACAGUCAAUUCGGAUCACACUUGGCAAAUAUACGGAUAGAGUUUUGAGAGAGGUAUAGCGCCUUUGUAAUACAACUUCAGGUAUACCAUUCAUGUUUAAAAAUCGCCGUGAUGUUUUUGCUUGAGAAACGACGACAAAUCUGAAGGUGAAAGCAUACAUUCUUGGUAAACAGAGAAAGCGUAGUCAGUUAGUUGAAUUUGGAAAAAGGUAUACCUUCUUUCGUUAUUUUCAUGCUUUUGAGACUAAUUUUAGGUUGAAUUUUUCCUUUUUUAGCCAAGUAGUUAUCUUCACUUUCCUAUAAAUACUUUGAGCUUGAUAUGAGUUUGUGGUUCAACAUGUGACCUUAUAUGUUUACACAAUUAAUUGCAAUUUUCAUAUCAUUAGAUGCCUAGAUAGCUUUGUUCAUUUGUGUUAAAGGGAUCUUACUCGAAAUAAAGAAAAUAAAAAUAAAAUAAGAGGUGCCAAUUUUGUAUAUAGAUGAGACAGAAUGAUGGAUAAAUUUAUUUGUUUAUUGAUUAAAGAUGAUUUAUAGUUUCGUUCAAUUGAAUGAGAUGUGGACUAUUUGUUUCAUCGGGGCAUAUUUGAUCAAUUAAAAUCGCGGUUACGAGUUGAAACCAACAUCGUUUACUGGUGUCAUGUAUGUGGAACACGAAGAAGCAGUUUAGAAGGCUGUGGUUGCUAUUAAUUCAAUUGUUGUUGGGGCUGACUCUUUAAGGUGUAGAUGAGACUGGUGUGGAGCCCAAUGAAAUCGACCUGGUUAUGACUCAAAAUGGCUGUCAAGAUCAAAGGUCGUCAAGGCUUUAUAAAGGCUGCAAAUGGUGAACGCAGAUGUUAAGGUCAUUUUAUUCUCGUACGUGUCAAGGGAAACAUGGGUAUUUAGAAAUUAACCGUGAAGGCAUCUACUUACAACAUGAUGAAGAUUAGUGAUCGGGAGUCAUUUGUGUUCCUUAGUUACUAAUUUUUAGUUCGAUCAUAUCUCUUGCUAUCUCUUAUAACCAUCCUACUCAUGAUAUCGCAUGACAUUGUAGACUGGGAGACCAAUUGUGUAUGGGUUGGGCCUCAAAAGGGAGAGUAUGGAGUUAGAAGAAAUGUUGAAAGGUGAACUUAAGCACAAAAUAGCUCUUUCUGGCUGCCCCACUCUCAAUGAUAUAUGGAUGUCACUUUGUUUAUUAAGCGACUUCAAGGAUAUCGAAUUUUAGGUGUCUGUUAAAUCAAAGAGGACUUGCAUCUAUAACGUUGGAUGUGGUAGGGCGUGCUACACCAACUCGACUGAGCUCAUGUUACUUUUAGUAAAUUGUAAAUGUAACAUUAUUUGUCUUUUUCUUGAUGUUUUUUGUACACGGCUUAUAAAGAAAACUUCAUACCUAAUACCUAAUGAUACAAUCCA